rnacentral:rRNA from 1 species
UACGGGGGGGGCAAGCGUUGUUCGGAAUUACUGGGCGUAAAGGGCUCGUAGGCGGCCAACUAAGUCAGACGUGAAAUCCCUCGGCUUAACCGGGGAACUGCGUCUGAUACUGGAUGGCUUGAGUUUGGGAGAGGGAUGCGGAAUUCCAGGUGUAGCGGUGAAAUGCGUAGAUAUCUGGAGGAACACCGGUGGCGAAGGCGGCAUCCUGGACCGGCAUUGACGCUGAGGCGCGAAAGCCAGGGGAGCAAACGGGG